CCGAGUUUACAACUCCCAAACCCCAUGUGAACCUUACCACACGUUGCUUCGGCGGUCACGCCCCGGCGCCCUCACCGGCCCGGAACCAGGCGCCCGCCGGGGACCCAAACCAAAACCAUUGUGUACCAUAGCGUAUUCUCUGAGUGGCGUAAUGCAAAAUAAAUCA
rnacentral:misc_RNA from 1 species